GACACCUCACAUCCAAACCAUAAGGAGCAGUGACCACCAGUGGUGUCCCUUCCAUGGCUGUGGCAGGUACAGGUGAUCACAGUGCCUGGCAUCCCCUGGGCAGUGCAUUUGUGAUGUGUGCACCGUCUAAUUGGCUGUGGACUGUGUCUCAAUCCACUUACUUCUACAGGACUACUGGGUGAGCUGGGUUUUCAAAUCACUGAAUGCUCUAAAUGACAAGGAAGUGUCCACCUCUCUAGUUUUCCUAAUAUCACUCAUAUAGUGACUGCUGGCUAAGGCUGGCUGCUGUGGACGGGGCACCUUCUGCCCAGGGUGCCCACUGGCCUUUGGACAGGAGCUCCUUAGAUGCGGGUUAACAGAGGGCUCCAGCUCUGCUGUCUGUGGCCAAAUGAUAGCACCCCACACCUUUUGUCCCUGCGGUCUUGAGAGAGGCUGGCUGUCCCAGGCCAAUCUGCGCAGUAAAGGUGGAACGUGAGAAGAGGAUGGCAGCCCUUUCCUUCCUGUAUCUGGGGUGGGGUGGGCCUCUAAUGCUGGAGCAUAAUGAAGAUGCCCAGGGUCAGGUGGGGUCCCCUGCUGCCCACACACCAGCCAGGCCAGGGUGCUGUCUGUGAAGCUGGGCUGAGGAAAGUCCUUCGGCCUUCA
rnacentral:lncRNA from 1 species